rnacentral:lncRNA from 1 species
CGGGAGUAUUCUAGAGUAUCGAUUUUCCACAGGGAACGUGAGUGUACUAAUUAAGAUCCAAGAUCGCCCAAGGAUAACUAUAUAAUUAUUUUUGGUGGGAAGAGAGGAAGUUUCCUGAGAGUUCUCUAGUUGAUCUAAGAAUCAAGAAUUACUUCAAGAUUAUCUAUAUCGGGACAUCAGAGCACUAACCACAGAAAGAGAUGAGAAGGGGGCUAGGAAGGUCUGACUACGGUCCAACAAACAC